AGACCCGAAACCCGGUGAUCUAGCCAUGGGCAGGUUGAAGGUUGGGUAACACUAACUGGAGGACCGAACCGACUAAUGUUGAAAAAUUAGCGGAUGACUUGUGGCUGGGGGUGAAAGGCCAAUCAAACCGGGAGAUAGCUGGUUCUCCCCGAAAGCUAUUUAGGUAGCGCCUCGUGAAUUCAUCUCCGGGGGUAGAGCACUGUUUCGGCAAGGGGGUCAUCCCGACUUACCAACCCGAUGCAAACUGCGAAUACCGGAGAAUGUUAUCACGGGAGACACACGGCGGGUGCUAACGUCCGUCGUGAAGAGGGAAACAACCCAGACCGCCAGCUAAGGUCCCAAAGUCAUGGUUAAGUGGGAAACGAUGUGGGAAGGCCCAGACAGCCAGGAUGUUGGCUUAGAAGCAGCCAUCAUUUAAAGAAAGCGUAAUAGCUCACUGGUCGAGUCGGCCUGCGCGGAAGAUGUAACGGGGCUAAACCAUGCACCGAAGCUGCGGCAGCGACACUGUGUGUUGUUGGGUAGGGGAGCGUUCUGUAAGCCUGUGAAGGUGUGCUGUGAGGCAUGCUGGAGGUAUCAGAAGUGCGAAUGCUGACAUAAGUAACGAUAAAGCGGGUGAAAAGCCCGCUCGCCGGAAGACCAAGGGUUCCUGUCCAACGUUAAUCGGGGCAGGGUGAGUCGACCCCUAAGGCGAGGCCGAAAGGCGUAGUCGAUGGGAAACAGGUUAAUAUUCCUGUACUUGGUGUUACUGCGAAGGGGGGACGGAGAAGGCUAUGUUGGCCGGGCGACGGUUGUCCCGGUUUAAGCGUGUAGGCUGGUUUUCCAGGCAAAUCCGGAAAAUCAAGGCUGAGGCGUGAUGACGAGGCACUACGGUGCUGAAGCAACAAAUGCCCUGCUUCCAGGAAAAGCCUCUAAGCAUCAGGUAACAUCAAAUCGUACCCCAAACCGACACAGGUGGUCAGGUAGAGAAUACCAAGGCGCUUGAGAGAACUCGGGUGAAGGAACUAGGCAAAAUGGUGCCGUAACUUCGGGAGAAGGCACGCUGAUAUGUAGGUGAAGUCCCUCGCUGAUGGAGCUGAAAUCAGUCGAAGAUACCAGCUGGCUGCAACUGUUUAUUAAAAACACAGCACUGUGCAAACACGAAAGUGGACGUAUACGGUGUGACGCCUGCCCGGUGCCGGAAGGUUAAUUGAUGGGGUCAGCGCAAGCGAAGCUCUUGAUCGAAGCCCCGGUAAACGGCGGCCGUAACUAUAACGGUCCUAAGGUAGCGAAAUUCCUUGUCGGGUAAGUUCCGACCUGCACGAAUGGCGUAAUGAUGGCCAGGCUGUCUCCACCCGAGACUCAGUGAAAUUGAACUCGCUGUGAAGAUGCAGUGUACCCGCGGCAAGACGGAAAGACCCCGUGAACCUUUACUAUAGCUUGACACUGAACAUUGAGCCUUGAUGUGUAGGAUAGGUGGGAGGCUUUGAAGUGUGGACGCCAGUCUGCAUGGAGCCGACCUUGAAAUACCACCCUUUAAUGUUUGAUGUUCUAACGUGGACCCGUGAUCCGGGUUGCGGACAGUGUCUGGUGGGUAGUUUGACUGGGGCGGUCUCCUCCUAAAGAGUAACGGAGGAGCACGAAGGUUGGCUAAUCCUGGUCGGACAUCAGGAGGUUAGUGCAAUGGCAUAAGCCAGCUUGACUGCGAGCGUGACGGCGCGAGCAGGUGCGAAAGCAGGUCAUAGUGAUCCGGUGGUUCUGAAUGGAAGGGCCAUCGCUCAACGGAUAAAAGGUACUCCGGGGAUAACAGGCUGAUACCGCCCAAGAGUUCAUAUCGACGGCGGUGUUUGGCACCUCGAUGUCGGCUCAUCACAUCCUGGGGCUGAAGUAGGUCCCAAGGGUAUGGCUGUUCGCCAUUUAAAGUGGUACGCGAGCUGGGUUUAGAACGUCGUGAGACAGUUCGGUCCCUAUCUGCCGUGGGCGCUGGAGAACUGAGGGGGGCUGCUCCUAGUACGAGAGGACCGGAGUGGACGCAUCACUGGUGUUCGGGUUGUCAUGCCAAUGGCACUGCCCGGUAGCUAAAUGCGGAAGAGAUAAGUGCUGAAAGCAUCUAAGCACGAAACUUGCCCCGAGAUGAGUUCUCCCUGACCCUUUAAGGGUCCUGAAGGAACGUUGAAGACGACGACGUUGAUAGGCCGGGUGUGUAAGCGCAGCGAUGCGUUGAGCUAACCGGUACUAAUGAACCGUGAGGCUUAACCUUACAACGCCGAAGGUGUUU
rnacentral:rRNA from 1 species